rnacentral:rRNA from 1 species
CAGUAGCCGCGGUAAUACGAAGGGUGCAGGCGUUAAUCGGAAUUACUGGGCGUAAAGCGUGCGUAGGCGGUUUGUUAAGUCUGCUGUGAAAUCCCCGGGCUCAACCUGGGAAUGGCAGUGGAUACUGGCAAGCUAGAGUGUGUCAGAGGAUGGUGGAAUUCCCGGUGUAGCGGUGAAACGCGUAGAGAUCGGGAGGAACAUCAGUGGCGAAGGCGGCCAUCUGGGACAACACUGACGCUGAGGCACGAAAGCGUGGGGAGUAAACAGGAUUAGAUACCCCAGUAGUCCCUGUCUCUUAUAC